rnacentral:rRNA from 1 species
AGAGUUUGAUCCUGGCUCAGAUUGAACGCUGGCGGCAUGCCUUACACAUGCAAGUCGAACGGUAACGCGGGGCAACCUGGCGACGAGUGGCGAACGGGUGAGUAAUGCAUCGGAACGUGCCCAGUAGUGGGGGAUAGCCCGGCGAAAGCCGGAUUAAUACCGCAUACGACCUACGGGUGAAAGGGGGGGAUCGCAAGACCUCUCGCUAUUGGAGCGGCCGAUGUCAGAUUAGGUAGUUGGUGGGGUAAAGGCCUACCAAGCCGACGAUCUGUAGCUGGUCUGAGAGGACGACCAGCCACACUGGGACUGAGACACGGCCCACACUCCUACGGGAGGCAGCAGUGGGGAAUUUUGGACAAUGGGCGCAAGCCUGAUCCAGCCAUGCCGCGUGCGGGAAGAAGGCCUUCGGGUUGUAAACUGCUUUUGUACGGAACGAAAAGGCUCUGGUUAAUACCUGGGGCUCAUGACGGUACCGUAAGAAUAAGCACCGGCUAACUACGUGCCAGCAGCCGCGGUAAUACGUAGGGUGCAAGCGUUAAUCGGAAUUACUGGGCGUAAAGCGUGCGCAGGCGGUUUUGUAAGACAGGCGUGAAAUCGCCGGGCUCAACCUGGGAAUUGCGCUUGUGACUGCAAGGCUGGAGUGCGGCAGAAGGGGGGAUGGAAUUCCGCGUGUAGCAGUGAAAUGCGUAGAUAUAGGAAGGAACACCAGUGGCGAAAGGCGACCACCUGGUACUGAUACUGACACUGAGGUGCGAAAGCGUGGGGAGCAACAGGAUUAGAUACCCUGGUAGUCCACGCCGUAAACGAUGUCAACUAGCCGGUGGGGUUUCCGUAGAAGACUUAGUGCGCAGCUAACGCAUUUAGGUAGGUUAAACUCAGAUGAGUCGACGCGCCAAUAGCGGUGCAGCAUGUGAUUUAUUUACGAAAGCAA